rnacentral:piRNA from 1 species
UCUUAAUCCUUGAAUGCUCCUGCCUCC